rnacentral:rRNA from 1 species
GACGAACGCUGGCGGCGUGCUUAACACAUGCAAGUCGAACGGAAAGGCCCUGCUUUUGUGGGGUGCUCGAGUGGCGAACGGGUGAGUAACACGUGAGUAACCUGCCCUUGACUUUGGGGUAACUUCAGGAAACUGGGGCUCAUAGCGGAUAAGAGCUCCCGCUGCAUGGUGGGGGUUGGAAAGUUUCGGCGGUUGGGGAUGGACACGCGGCUUAUGAGCUUGUUGGUUGGGUAGUGGGUUACCAAGGCUUUGACGGGUAGCCGGCCUGAGAGGGUGACCGGCGACAUUGGGACUGAGAUAGGGCCCAGACUCCUACGGGAGGGAGCAGGGGGGAAUAUUGCACAAUGGGCGGAAGCCUGAUGCAGCAACGCCGCGUGCGGGAUGACGGCCUUCGGGUUGUAAACCGCUUUCGCCUGUGACGAAGCGUGAGUGACGGUAAUGGGUAAAGAAGCACCGGCUAACUACGUG